rnacentral:rRNA from 1 species
CCUACGGGAGGCAGCAGUGGGGAAUUUUGCGCAAUGCUCGUAAGAGUGACGCAGCGACGCCGCGUGAAUGACGAAGGCCUUCGGGUCGUAAAGUUCUUUCUACAGGGAAGAAAAUGCCUAUACGCAACUGUGUAUGUAUGGACCGUACCUGUAUCAGCAGCCUCGGCUAACUCCGUGCCAGCAGCCGCGGGAAAACGGAGGGGUCGUGCGUUGUUCGGAGUGACUGGGCGUAAAGGGCACGUAGGCGGUGUUGUAAGUCAUAAGUCAAAGACUAGAGCUCAACUUUGGUAAUGCUUGUGAUACUAUACUACUAGAGAAUCAGAGAGGAAUGCAGAAUGCCUGGUGUAGCGGUGAAAUGCUUAGAUAUCAGGAAGAAUACCGUUAGCGAAGGCAGCAAACUGGCUGGAUGCUGACGCUGAGGUGCGAAAGCGUGGGUAGCAAACAGGAUUAGAGACCCGUGUAGUC